UAAAGGUCAGCCUAAAUAUGCAUAGAUAUUUAUUUGCAAGUGGUUUAGGAGAAGAUCUGAGCUGCUCACUUUUCCUAAAAUGUCUCUUUGGAUUGAUUAUGGAAGGGUAGAGGUUUUAGGUCUUUUGUAUUCAGCUUAUAGACAUCUCAUGACGCCAAAAUCCAGCAAUAAUCUUUAUUUUCAGCUGAAAGUUUCCUAUCUUCUCCCUCUUCCAAUACAAAUGCAAGCUUGAAUUAUUUUAACUAUGGAAAAGGCACCUACCCGAGUGACCCUGCCUAACAUCGCUGACACAGUUUGGCAUCUUCACCUGAAGCCUGGGUUUAUUUUCUUGAAGAUUACCCCUAGGUACACCCCAGGGAAAAACUAACUCUUGACAGCUCUUUCUGUUUUGACCAUCACUUUUUACAGCCAAGAGCGAUGAUGUGGAGGUGAGGAGGGGCAGUCAUCUGGUUUGUGCUGGAGCCAGCGUUUGCCGUUUGUUUUUUACUCUGUCCUGAAGUGGUGCAUUUUCAGAGGCUGUACCACACAACCAGGAAGAAAAAGUGACUCCCUGGUUAUUCAGACAGGUGGCACUUUGCAAAGCAAGGAGGUUACUGCCAGAGUAAACUGAAAUUGGAGGUGGUUUACAUUAAUACUGCAGCCUGUAGACUGUACUUGCUGAGGAGUUUAUCCAGGAGGAUCAGCUGAUCUUGCUGCAGGAUGGUGACCUCUGGCAGAGACAUGGGACAGAGACAGCUGCCUCAGCUCUCCCAGCUAAACCUGCUUAAGGUGAUCUUGUGUUGCCGGCUUGCAGAGAUUCUAAAGCAAGGGACAACAGAGUCCCGAGGCAUGCAGUUAUGGGAGACUGGCUACUGAUUUGUGGAUGUCCAGGGAACCCAUGCCUCGCAGAUUAGCAGCUGACCAUCUUCCACUGAGCAUCCUAGCAGCUUUAUGUCUGCUUUCCUACUUCAAGAAACAAAUAUCUCUGGGAUGAAGCAAAUCUUCUUUGUGCCAAGUGCCUGUCUGGUUACUGUUAUUCAAGAUCCAGCUUUUAUUAACUAUCCUGAACCUGUUGGAAGAUGGGAAGCAUAUUUCCAGCUUUUUAAAAUCAGAAAUAUUUACUGUGGAGAAAUGAUUAAUGAAAGCCAGUGGAAUGGUGACAGGAGGGGCCCUACAGCAAGCCUACUACUGGCUGACUCCAGACACCUUGUGAUUCUGAGUUGCAGUUUCUCCAUCUACAGAAUUAGAGGCUUUGGGAAUCUAAAGUCAGGAAGAAACUGCUUAUCUACAUAGAUGCAAUUCCCUGUUGCUGGCUACAGAGUGAGGACUGAGAGGAGGAAUGCAUAUGUUGGUCCUGCUGUGGCAGAAUAAGUUAAGUGAAAUGAAGAAGACAAGCAAGUUUUCUGUUGUACAUCACAGAAAGGGUGACCUGGUACACUGCUUAAAAGAGAACCUGAAAAGACAAUUUUUUUUUUUGCCCCAUAGCAGUCCUGCAGAUGAGAACAGCUAAUCCAUUCCCCCCCAUAUUUCCAGUGUUUUGGGGCAUUGAGCACUGCAGAAACAGUUGGAAACUUGGGAAAGCUGUACAUGACUGAGCAGCUGGACAUGAAAAGAAUUGUUCUUCGAUGUUGAGAUGCAUUUUUCUUGCUAUAAAGAAGGAAGGAAUUAAGUGACUACACGCUUGGAAGAAAGACCUUGCCGUUUCAUGAUGGCUCUCAGACAUCAUCUUUAUAACUCCACUGAACUGUUCCUCUGCUAAAAGACUUGUAGCCUAUACUACAAAGGGCUUUGAGUUUAUGUACAGCAUAUACUGUUAUCAGCAAUCACCGCAACAGUCACAAAAGGUAUUGCUUCACUGUGGUUAAACAAUCUAAUUAAUCGUAUGACAAAAUUACUCCUGUGCUAGUAUGUCCUCCAACCACAGAGGUAGGUUUAGCAGCAUAGCUAGGACAGCAUAUUGGGGAUGUCCUAAGUAACACUAGAAGAUCUGAAAAAACAUCAUGGUAUAGCUUUUCAACUGUUUCAGGGAAAGCUGAUCGUUUUCUGUCCAGAAUGGAUAUGCGUAAUUCCAGAGGCAGGUUUUUAGAUUAUAGGUGACCUUUGCUUCUGUGAGGAUCUGAAACUCUGUGUCUCACUUCUUCUAUAUAUGUGCGUUACAUUUAAAUAAAUAUCUCAACUGUCCCUCAGCUGGAGGGCUGUCUGCGAGACAUUCUUUAGCCAAACACAGUGUGAUACAAACACUCAGAUAGUGACAGGAGCACAAUAUAAGAGAGCCCAGAGGAAAUCUGAUAGCUUGUAUACAGGUAUUCAGAUUGCUUUAUCAAGGAGUCUUUUCUGGUCUUAAGUUCCAUACAUUCAAGACUUGUUUUGAUUCAAAGAAAUUCAGCUUUCUCUUGCUAUUGUGUUUUGUGCUCUUGAGAAAAGAUAAUUGGAAAAGCUGGAUACGUAAAAAGAGGAGUGGUCUGUGACUGCUCUUAAACUUUCCAAAUAUAUUAUCCUUUAAAAAAACCCACCAGAACCCACUUUGUCAUAACAGUUUCAGCAUCAACAGUGACUAAUCUAUUUUCCAUGCAAAGGCCAUAGUAAAAUGCAGGUGUGUUUAAUACUUUGAUUUAAUGUUUCUACAAGAACAAUUUUGGGUUGAUUUGGUUGAAGGAACUGCUUGGUUAUUAGUCCCUUAAAGACUAUCUGUGUAUCUGUCUUCUAAAAAGUAUAAUCAUAGAAGUUAAUAAAAGGGAAGGAGAAUAAGUCACUGAACAUUUGAACAUUUGGAGGUCUAGACUAUGUUUCCAUUCGUCAAGGUUGUCCUCAAAAGUAAUUUUUGAGCCACACUGCAAGGAAACUGGAAAGAGCUUGAACUUCUGAUGUUCACUUUAUUGUGCGGAUACAUAGAAAACAAUUUUCUUGUCCCACAAGGAUUCUGUUGAUUCUGAAAUUUUGGGCCUGGCAUGGCACUCAGUGAAUAUAUGAGUUACUUAAGAAACAAACAAACAUAUUUCAUUUUAAUGCUGACCUUUUUUUUUUUUUUCCCCUUAACCUUUUAAUAUAAAUUUAAUUAAGUUUCAACAGGAGAAGAUGCUUUUAACCACAAACCAGAGACUUUUUGUUUAAAAAAAUGUUGAAAUGGCACAUUUCUAGAAUUUCAAAACCUGUUAUUCUGGGUUUUUUUUGAGGACAGGAAUCUCUCUGGGGAAUAAUUUCAGUUUUGAUGAAUUGUAAGUUGUGACCAUCUCUCUUCUCUAUGAAAGCCCUGUUCUCAUUCCCAACACAAACCCCAAGCUUCCAGUAGUUUCCAGAAGUCUAAGGUAUGAUUGCCUUAGUCACCUUACUGAUGCAUUAGAAUGAGACAGAUUUUGGGCAACUAACUUUAAUGUUGUGUAGUAAGACAACAGUGAGAGUGUUGUGAUGGUCUUAAUUGGCAUUCUUCCUCUACAAGUACUUGAGAUUGUAAUAGUUCUGUUUUGUGUUUCUAUACUUCACAUAUGUACUGUUUCAUGUCAAUUACUGUUUUACAGUUUGCAGACAAGAAGAUACGAGUUUACAUGUAUGCUAGAAAUUAAUUUCAUUAACACACUGUGUUUUUUCGUUACAUUUGUCAAGAAGGAUUACUUAUAACUAAUGACCAUAGUUGUGUUGAUGAAACAAAUUUUAUGCCUUCAGUGAAGGAUUGUUAAUGAACCCUGCUUUAAGAAGUCUGGAUGGCUUGUACAUCUGGAAAUGAACACUGGAUUGUUGUCACUUUUUAUAGCAAUAUUUGUAUAUAUUUGCAUUACCCUAGAAAUAAACUAUUUUCAUUACUUGA